GCCUCCGGUGCUGUCGGUGGGGCAGGCGAGGAGAGAGGGACUUAGCUUCAGACGUUCAAGCGCCCGCUGACAUAAAUUUAACAGAGCCAGAAUUCCUCCUCCGACUGCGCCAAUUUGACUGAGCAAGAGAACCCUGGAAGAUGCCGUUUCAUCAAAGCAGCCGAAGUAGACGGGUCCUUUUCAUCAAACCCAGAAGGGGGAGGGGGCAAGAAGAAUAGCCAGAGGGUAUUUUUGGAAAGCCGAGAGGAGAUUAAAUGACGACUCUACGUCUUCCCCCGUUUAAGUGUUGCAACUAAUUCGAAUUCCCAUUUUCUCCUUCGCGUUAAUUAUCUGGACUCCGUGAGUCAUACGGAGCUCAGCUCCAGGUGUCCCAGGGAUUAGAAGCUCGAAAAGAUGGAGGUUUUUAGUGAGGGUGGUUUGCUGCAAGGGCUGGGAUAGGUGGCCGCGCUUGGUACCUCGCUGCAACCCUCUUUGGGAACAUGGGUUCCAACGAAAUCACCUAACGGCCACGCUCGGCGGCCCCUUUGUGUGACUAAAUUUGGCAAGAAUAUGGAUCCCAGCCAGUCUUUCCACGUGUGCUCCCAGCUCCCAGCUGAGAAGGCCAAGGGUUCUCUUCCGGGAGAGAUUGGUUCUGGAGCCCCAGAAGACCUGAAAAUCCAAGGAUGCUCAUGAGGUAUAAGUUCUGUGAAAUAAGAAGGUGAAGGUAAGCAAAAGAGAUCAAAGUCAUUUCUGGAAGAAAUAGACCAAGAAGUUGGUAUGCCUGGUGAGGUGGUAACCUCACUUGGAGACUGAGGAAGGAGGAUAAUGAGUUGGAGGACAACACAAGCUACAUUUUGAGAUCAUGUCUGGCAAAAACAGAAGGAGAAAGGGGGAUGAGGGGAGGAAGAGGAGGAGGAGGCAGCUCCUAAAACCUUGCUGUGCCUUUACAGUAGAGAACUCUAUGUGUUUUGUCCCCUACUAUGACAUUGAAAGUGACUUAAAAGGGGCCACGGAGAUGUCUCACUGAGUGAAAGGUUUGCUGUAAAGACAAGUCUGAUGACCUGAGUUUGAUGAACCCACAUAAAGACGAGAGACACACACAUAGUGUUGGUUACGUUUCCGUUGCUACAGUAAGACACAAAGGCAGCUAUGGAAGAAAGUGUGUUUUUGGCUUAUGGUUGCAGAUAGCAGGAACAGCAUGGCAGCGGGCAGCAAGCUUGGCUGCUAGAACAAAAAGCUGAAGGCUCACAUCUUGAACUGCAAGAACAAAACAGAGAGAGCAAACUGGGAGUAGGGAGAGGACUUAAGAGCUCAAAGCCUACCCUAAAUGGUGCACCUCCCUCAGCAAGGCCAUACCUCUGAAGCAUCAGCAAACAGCGCUACCAGCUGGGGCCCAAGUGUUCACAUACAUGAACCUAUAUGGGGAAAUUCUCAUUCAA